rnacentral:rRNA from 1 species
GAUCCUGCUCAGGAUGAACGCUAGCUACAGGCUUAACACAUGCAAGUCGAGGGGCAUCAGGGUGUAGCAAUACACCGCUGGCGACCGGCGCACGGGUGAGUAACACGUAUCCAACCUUCCUUUACCUUCGGGGAGUAGCCUUUCGUAAAGAAAGAUUAAUACCCGACUGGUAUAACAUGACCUCCUGGUUUUGUUUAUUAAAGAAUUUCGGUUAGAGGAUGGGGAGUGCGUUCCAUUAGGCAGUUGGCGGGGUAACGGCCCACCAAACCUUCG